UACAGAGGGUGCGAGCGUUAAUCGGAAUUACUGGGCGUAAAGGGUGCGUAGGUGGUUCAAUCAGUCAGGCGUGAAAUCCCCAAGCUCAACUUGGGAAUUGCGUUUGAUACUGUUGAACUAGAGUAUGGUAGAGGGAAGUGGAAUUUCAGGUGUAGCGGUGAAAUGCGUAGAUAUCUGAAGGAACAUCAGUGGCGAAGGCGGCUUCCUGGACUAAUACUGACACUGAGGCACGAAAGCGUGGGGAGCAAACAGG
rnacentral:rRNA from 1 species